GAGGAGAAAGCUGGCUUGUGAUUGCUCCGUUGCUUCCGCCCGUAGCUGGUGCGCUCGGAGAUUCGCUUUCCGCCCUGAAAGUGACGCAAACAAGCCGCCUAAAAGCUGGAGAGGUUGAAGUUUCGGCGGUGUUGAUGGGCUCAUCAAAGCUCCAGCUCAAAGCCGCCUUAACUCAACUAAACAUGCUCAGAAUUGCCGGCAUCCGGGUGUGAUUUUACUAACCACAGUAACAUCAGACUGCAAUCAAGUAUUUUGGAGCAACCCUUGUUGAGCAGCGUAAUGCUUCCUGCCCGGCAGUUCCAUCAGCCUGAUGACGAAAAUCCUUGGUCAGGACGUCGCCAGCACUCCAUGCAUUAGCACUGGUGAUCACAUGCUUGAGAUGGUAGACUGUUUUGUCUAUCCGGAUUUCACCAUAACCAGCAGCCUCCAUCAAUGCUGAGCUGGACAAGCAUAUUGGCAAUACAGCUACGACAAUGUGAUGCUAACAUCCCAUACCAAGAUAAAGGUCUACCAUGCUUGUGUGUUGAGCACGCUGCUUAUGGAGAAACUGAGGGCAGUCGGCCCAUCCCUCAGUGUGUUCUCACAACAGACCUGUGUGUGACUUAACCACAAUCGCCUAAUGACUUUCUUGGCUGAGUGAGGAUCUGAAUCUGCGUCUUCCUAGUCCUAGUUUGACACUUUACUCAUCAAUGACUGCUUCUGCUCCUGUUUGGAACUGCCUGUUAAAGAAGACCCCUGCUGAUCAAUGAGUAAGAGCACAUCUACUGGGGGAACAGACUGUACAACACCACAAAAUGUGAUGGAGGAAAUUGUUACCGGAAUGCCAUAGGAGAGCCGCAUGUGAGUCCGCAGUGCUGUCAAGCCGCCAGGCACCAGUCCCAGGCAACAGUUCUCCCCGUAUUUGCGUGACACGUAACAGGCCAGGAUUGCCGGGCAGAGAAGCCCAACACAACCUGCCCAAAUGAAACACACAGGAACUCAAGGUGUUGGGCAUGGAUUUCCAUGCAUUCCGAAUCUAAAGAACCCCACAACUUAGCUUCUCUUCACAAAGAGCCUUGAGGUACAAUGGCUGCAGGUCUACAUUGCAACAGGUGGCAAGUUUUAAACCCAUAUAACCUGGAAGCAAUAUGGGAAUCAUUGGACAAAUAUCUGGGAAAUGUGUUAGGAGGGGAGUCAGUCUACAAUAACCCACAGCAGCUUUCCUCCAUCUUAUAUAAAAUCGAUCUCCGCAGGCUAAAAUACAGCCAGACAUUUACUUACACAUGGGGCAGUCUGAACAGCAGUCAUACCUCCCACUGCUCCAGCUGCCUUCUGAGGACAGGGUCAAAGGUGAGACUGUGGCAACUGGCUGGCAGGUCACAGGCUCGGACAUAGCUAGAGCUAAGGCCACUGGCGGCUCAGAAACAACCUCAAAAAGGCAAAUCUGAAUGGCAGUGACAAAUGUUUUGCAAGGCAAACUCAAGUCUUCAGUUCCUUGUGGUCAGGCCACAUGUGUAUUUGAGCAAUGGGGAAAUGGUAAGCAGGAAGCAGAGGACUGCAAGGCCUGGAGAAUUUAGAGUGAAAAUGUACCCCCCCCUCUUUUUAGUGGCGAGACUUUGUUCAGGAGGUUGUUCACUCUGUCAUGGUGUCUUCACCCCCCUCUUCAGGUAAAAAGGCUGCAAGAUUGGCUUACAGAAAUCAGUAAUAAGAUUGUCAGCUGAGGGCAAUCUGGGACAUGACACAAAAUGGAAAAGAAAUUGGAGGAAGGAGGAAAAACACAAACUCAGGCACUUCUUAGUUACAAAGGCCAGCAGACAUGGAAAUAGUUCAAGGCAAGGAGGCACCCAAAGUUGCUGGUUUCUCAGCUGACCCUAUUUGUUCAUAGAAUCAAAUGAUCUUAGAAUUGUAGAGUUGGAAGAGACUCUGAGGGUCAUCUAGUCCAAACCCCUGGAAUGCAGGAAUUGCAACUAAAACAUCAGUGACAGAUGGCCACCUAACCUCUGCUUAAAGACUACCAAUGAAGGAGUCCGUUCCACUGCAGGUCUCCCCAGUCUUAUAUUCGUGUAGCUGGUUCUUCCUGCUUAAGUGUAGAACCUGACAUUUGUCCCUAUUAAAAUUCAUUUUGUUAGUUUGGCCCAGUUCUCCAAUCUGCUAAAGUCAUAUUUAAUCCUGAUUGUAUCUUCUGCUGCAUUGGCUACCCCUCCUGGUUUGAUGUCAUCUGCAAAUUUGAUGAACAUCCCCUCAAUUCCUUCAUCCAAGUACAUCACUGCUAGAUGGUAGGCCAGACCCUUGAACUGGUCUUUGCUACAAGACUGGGAGUGAUAUUGAUAGUGUGGAUUAUGAUUGGCACUUUAGGGUGGUGGCGGCUAGUCAACUGUAGGGUUGGUAGCCCCUGGAGACCUACAGAAUUUGCUCAGGUUCCUCAGUGCUCUGGUUGGAAGGCUGUGGAAUGGUGAGAUGGAAAGUGUUGUUGACACAAUCGCUGCUCAUGGCCUUCUAUGGCACUGCAGGGAGCCCAGACUGCACCUUGUUUGCAGGGGAGCUCCAGGAAAUUGAACAGGCAGAACAGCAGCUUGAGCACAAGUAGUGUGUCUCACAGCAACAGCCAUGACAGGAGUAAAAGUGUAUGAUUGUGCUACCAAAGGAAUCACUCCAGCACCCUCUUCUUCUUUGGCGAUCGCUUGCAGCCAAGAAAGAUUGUCUUCCAUAAAGAUGGUU